GACGAACGCUGGCGGCGUGCCUAAUACAUGCAAGUCGAACGCAGUGGGGACGGGUGAGUAACACGUGGGUAACCUCCCAUCAGAGGGGAUAACACUUGGCAACAGGUGCUAAACCCCUAUUGGUGGAUGGACCAGGGGUGAAUUGGCUAGUUGGGGGGGUAACGGCCCACCAAGGCCAGGAUGCAUACCGGGUCGGAGAGGGGGAUCGGCCACACUGGGACUGGGAAACGGCCCAGACUCCUACGGGAGGCAGCAGUAGGGAAUCUUCGGCAAUGGACGAAAGUCUGACCGAGCAACGCCGCGUGAGUGAAGAAGGUUUUCGGAUCGUAAAACUCUGUUGUUAGAGAAGCGGUAUCUAACCAGAAAGCAACGGCUAACUACGUGCCAGCAGCCGCGGUAAUAC
rnacentral:rRNA from 1 species